AACGAACGCUGGCGGCAGGCCUAAUACAUGCAAGUCGAACGAGCAAGAGCCCGCAAGGGAGUUCUGCUAGUGGCAAACGGGUGCGGAACACGUGGGAAUCUACCCAGAAGUAUGGAACAACAGCUGGAAACGGCUGCUAAUACCAUACUAAGCUCGAAAGAGGAAAGAUUUAUCGCUUUGGUAUGAGCCGCGUCAGAUUAGCUAGUUGGUGAGGUAAUGGCUCACCAAGGCAACGAAUCUGUAGCUGGUCUGAGAGGAC
rnacentral:rRNA from 1 species